GGGGAUGCGGCGGCUCUGCUGGACCCAUCCGUAGGGCCUCUCUCAAGGGGAGCCAGAAAGUUCCCCCCACACCCUGAGAGAAGGGGCUUCGGGCUGUGUUGUCGAUGCUCCGAAAGAUAGUUUGAAAAACUACAGGAAGAAGGCCAUUCUGCCAUUUUUUGUAGCUGAAAAGAAGCUUCAGCAUUCAGGUCUAGCAGCAAAUUCUACUCAAGAAUGUAUGGUUCUCCAAAUCUGUUCUAACUCCUGUCCAUCCAUUGUCAGAAAAUAAGUAAGAUGUUUGAAUGUGCCUUCUGUGGCUCUCAUCUAUAUCCCAGCACUCAUCCUGCUAUUUUCAAAGAUUUGUGGUAA